UACGAAGGGGGCUAGCGUUGCUCGGAAUCACUGGGCGUAAAGCGCACGUAGGCGGAUUGCUAAGUCAGGGGUGAAAUCCUGGAGCUCAACUCCAGAACUGCCUUUGAUACUGGCGAUCUUGAGUCCGGGAGAGGUGAGUGGAACUGCGAGUGUAGAGGUGAAAUUCGUAGAUAUUCGCAAGAACACCAGUGGCGAAGGCGGCUCACUGGCCCGGUACUGACGCUGAGGUGGCGAAAGCGUGGGGAGCGAACAGGAU
rnacentral:rRNA from 1 species